rnacentral:rRNA from 1 species
CUUUUCCAUUUAAUUUUUAUUUUAAUUCAACAUCGAGGUCACAAACAUUUUUAUCAAUAAGAACUUUAUAAAAAUAUUACGCUGUUAUCCCUAAGGUAAUUAAUUCUCAUAAUAAUUUUAAUUAUAAUAAAAUUAUUCUAUAAAACCAUAAAUUAAUGUUCCC